rnacentral:rRNA from 1 species
AGAGUUGAUCCUGGCUCAGGAUGAACGCUAGCGGCAGGCUCAUACAUGCAAGUCGAGGGGCAGCAUAAAUUACUUGUAAUUUGAUGGCGACCGGCGAACGGGUGCGUAACGCGUAUGCAACUUACAUUUUACUAGAGAAUAGCCAAGAGAAAUUUUGAUUAAUGCUCUAUGUUCUUAUUUACUCGCAUGAGUAAAUAAGCAAAGCUCCGGCGGUAAAAGAUGGGCAUGCGUCCUAUUAGCUUGUAGGUGAGGUAAUGGCUCACCUAAGCUCCGAUAGGUAGGGGUCCUGAGAGGGAGAUCCCCCACACUGGUACUGAGACACGGACCAGACUUCUACGGAAGGCAGCAGUAAGGAAUAUUGGACAAUGGAGGCAACUCUGAUCCAGCCAUGCCGCGUGAAGGAAGACGGCCUUAUGGGUUGUAAACUUCUUUUAUACAGGAAGAAACCUUUCCACGUGUGGAAAGCUGACGGUACUGUAAGAAUAAGGAUCGGCUAACUCCGUGCCAGCAGCCGCGGUAAUACGGAGGAUCCAAGCGUUAUCCGGAAUUAUUGGGUUUAAAGGGUCCGCAGGCUGUUUGUUAAGUCAGAGGUGAAAUCCUACCGCUCAACGGUAGAACUGCCUUUGAUACUGGCAAACUUGAGUUAUUGUGAAGUAGUUAGAAUGUGUAGUGUAGCGGUGAAAUGCAUAGAUAUUACACAGAAUACCGAUUGCGAAAGCAGAUUACUAACAAUAUACUGACGCUGAGGGACGAAAGCGUGGGUAGCGAACAGGAUUAGAUACCCUGGUAGUCCACGCCGUAAACGAUGGUCACUAGCUGUUCGAUGUACAUUGGUACGUUGAGUGGCUAAGCGAAAGUGAUAAGUGACCCACCUGGGGAGUACGCUCGCAAGAGUGAAACUCAAAGGAAUUGACGG